GAAACGCGAUAGUUAAUGUGAAUUGCAGAAUUCAGUGAAUCAUCGAGUCUUUGAACGCACAUUGCGCCCAUAGGUAUUCCUUUGGACAUGUCUGUUUGAGCGUCAUUACAACCCUCAGCUAACCGCUGGUUUUGAACCUGAACGGGUGACACCGCGCCGGUUUUAAAGUUGUAAGCUCUGCUGGCCGCUCUGCCCAACCAGAACAUAGUAAGCACUACUUGUCCGGGUGAAGCUGAACGGUACGGCCUGAACAAAACCUACCCACUCUCAAGGUUUGACCUCAGAUCAGACAAGGAUACCCGCUGAACUUAAGC
rnacentral:misc_RNA from 1 species